AUAGUGUAAAGCCAUUAAAACAAUCUCACAAUCUUUUAUUAACUGCAAUAAUUAGGGUUAAGUCCACCUCUAGUGACUGGAACUUCUGUGUUCUUAGAAUGUUAUGUCCAGCAUUGCCGAAAUGCCCAUAGGAAAGCAUUGAAUAAUGCUUUCCUAUGGGGAGGAGGUCUAAUGCGCAAGCGCGGCCAUUGCACACAUAUAUACACACACACACACACACACACACACCUGCCACAGACUGGUCAGAACUGUUUAUUUUCUGAAACAGGUCUGCCUUUUACUUCAAU